CACGUAGGGGGCGAGCGUUGUCCGGAUUUAUUGGGCGUAAAGAGCUCGUAGGCGGCUCGGUAAGUCAACUGUGAAAGCUCCGGGCUCAACUCGGAGAGGCCAGUUGAUACUGCCGUGGCUAGAGUCCGGUAGGGGAGCGUGGAAUUCCUGGUGUAGCGGUGAAAUGCGCAGAUAUCAGGAGGAACACCAGCGGCGAAGGCGGCGCUCUGGGCCGGAACUGACGCUGAGGCGCGAAAGCGUGGGUAGCAAACAGG
rnacentral:rRNA from 1 species